GGGCCUGUAGCUCAGGGGAGGGAUCGGAGCACGUGGCAUAGAUAGUACGAACUUCGGAAGCACGGUUCGAAUCCGACGCAAGGGU
rnacentral:tRNA from 1 species